GACGAACGCUGGCUGCGUGCUUAACACAUGCAAGUCGAACGCUGAAGCCCCAGCUUGCUGGGGUGGAUGAGUGGCGAACGGGUGAGUAACACGUGAGUAACCUGCCCCUGACUUCGGGAUAAGCCCGGGAAACUGGGUCUAAUACCGGAUACGACUAUCGGACGCAUGUCUGGUGGUGGAAAGUUUUCUCGGUUGGGGAUGGGCUCGCGGCCUAUCAGUUUGUUGGUGAGGUAAUGGCUCACCAAGACGACGACGGGUAGCCGGCCUGAGAGGGCGACCGGGCACACUGGGAACGAGACAAGGGCCAGACUCCUACGGGAGGCAGGAGGGGGGAAUAUUGCACAAUGGGGGAAACCCUGAUGCAGCGACGCAGCGUGCGGGAUGACGGCCUUCGGGUUGUAAACCGCUUUCAGCAGGGAAGAAGCCUUCGGGUGACGGUACCUGCAGAAGAAGUACCGGCUAACUACGUG
rnacentral:rRNA from 1 species